ensembl:ncRNA lncRNA:CR44361 long non-coding RNA:CR44361
AGGUCCUGCGAUAAAUGCGUUCCUUUACAAUUCACUCUUGACAGCAGCCGCCUGCACCGGCCAUCACCGCCCGUGGCGCCCCCUAGCGGUGACAAACGGAGCUGCCUUCCUGCAACCAACCCGCAACCCCCUUCCGACCCCAUCCUGGCAUUCACUUUGAUGUUUUACUUUUACUGCCUCUUGACGCUGGGGCUUCUGCUCGGGCUCUAUGAUGAUUUCUUUCCUGAAAUUAUAUUUUAACUGCCAGUCAGCCUUGGCAGCGCAAAUAAACCACCACACGCCGCACACCACCCACCACAACCGCCGGCCCAUCGUCUUCCCAACCAACCCCACUCUUCUCCAGCAGACCCAGCUCAACCACAUGGGGCUGGGCAAGUGCAUCAUGUUGCUGGGCCAUAAAAAGUAAUGACAGCUGAAGUUCUCCGGCUCGAUAUUGACGAACGACCAAGAAGGAUGAUGAUAAUCACGAUAAGUGCAAAAAGUACGGCUGCAAAUGAAUUGGGCCCUCAACAUACAUACAACAACAGAUUGUUAUCUCACCAAAUUCCAGCUUAAGCCAAAU